GCACUUGGGAAUCUUAGACCCAGGAUCUUCAAACCCAACCACCACACUGUAAGAACACCUGCAGGGAUGUAGGUCGACAUUUCACAUCACAGCUUUGGUGGGGCUCCUAGUGAGCACUCGAAAUCAAUGAAAACGAGAGCAAGAAUGAUUCAACGUGCUUCCAGCACCGGCUAUGAAAGAAAGCUCGAGAGAGAUUGCCCAGCUAGAUGAAGGACACCAGAAUCUGAGAAGCUGAUGCAACAUGACCAGCCCCCUCAGAUUCCUGCUGCUGCGGCUUCACUGCUAUAAUGGACUGUAACCUGGAACUGUGAGUUAACAUCCAACUGUUCAUAUUGGGACCUUCCUGAACAAGGCAACCUGUAAACAACUGCACAGUGAUCAUCCUGCUGCCACCUUCUACCUUCAGUUCUGAAAUUAAAAAGCUGUAAAAUGAAUAUCCAGAAAGGCACAGAAUCUAAGACACGGCUCCUUUCAAUUAAGGGUAGCCUGGGACUUUAAAAAAUGUGAUCCAUCAUAACACAGCCCAAGAAGAGCUGAGCGCUUUCUCCUCCUUGCCUCUGUCUGUGAGUGUGUGCAUACGACGCUCCUGAUGAGGAAGGCUAAGAACUUGGAAGCCUGUUGGCUUAUGCAGUAGACCCAUCUGUGCGGGGCUUGUCUUUCUCAGUGACCUUGGAUCCUGAGAUGAUAAGGUCAAGUAAGGAAGAAAAACCAAAGUUCUCCAGA
ensembl:antisense 1700020G17Rik RIKEN cDNA 1700020G17 gene